rnacentral:rRNA from 1 species
CUGGUUGAUCCUGCCAGUAGUCAUAUGCUUGUCUCAAAGAUUAAGCCAUGCAUGUCUCAGUAUAAGCUUCUACACGGCGAAACUGCGAAUGGCUCAUUAAAACAGUUAUCGUUCAUUUGGUGGUCAUUUCCUACAUGGAUAACCGUGGUAAUUCUAGAGCUAAUACAUGCGCCCAAACCUGACUCCGUGGAAGGGUUGUGUUUAUUAGUUACAGAACCAACCCAGGCUCUGCCUGGUCUUGUGGUGAUUCAUAAUAACUGAAUGAAUCGCAUUGCAUCAGCUGGCGAUGAGUCAUUCAAGU